CCGCAAUUCUGUUGAAUUUCUCAUCCAGAUCGUUGAAUCGUCGGUUCAGAUCAGCGAUGGAGUUGUCCAAUAUGCCGAUUCGUUGCAGCGACUCAUCGACUGCUCCGCUUCUCGUUGUCAACUUCAUCGCCGUUCUGGACUCUCGUCACGUAUCUCGAAGUUGCUCACCGCACCAAAUGAUAAAGAACAUUACUCUGUAUAACGUGAAAAUACUUUCUUUAUUAUCCUCUCAAUACUCAAUACAAGUACUAAGCCUAAAUCUCAUAAGAGAUUCCCAAUUACAACUCACCAAAUGGCCAAAGUUUACAAAUGACUCAA
rnacentral:lncRNA from 1 species